AUGGAAGCAUCCGACAAGGAUACAAUAGCUGGGACAUUUGUGCCACCUGAUUAUGAUCUUGCUAUGGCUUCAGCACAAGAGGAGAGCCCAUCUAUUGCAAUGGUUGUCGAGAUGAUGGUUGCACCAUUAAAUGUUGAUCUUGUCGUGGAAUCAUAUAAAGCAACGGCUUUGAAUGCAGAUGAUGAGUAUGUGUUUCCACUAGAAGCACUUCUAGGGUUGCAUGUUCCUAUGGACUUAGACGACGCAUGCAUCGGUGAUGGAGCUAUGAGAUGGCUGAGUGAUGAGGAGGGCGGCGUCCAUGACCAUAACUAUGUUUGGAAGAUUCAUAAUGUGAUGGACUGCUCGGCAACGGUAAAACAUCUUCAAUGUGAGUAUCGGGGGCCAACUGCCAUUAUCAUCAAAGACAUUGCAGACAAGAUGUAA
rnacentral:rRNA from 1 species